CUUCUCCCCUAGGCCCAGCCCCGUGCAAGCCGGGGCCGCCGAAAGGCGCGGCGCUUACAGGAGACACG
rnacentral:ribozyme from 1 species